UACAGAGGUUUCAAGCGUUGUUCGGAUUCAUUGGGCGUAAAGGGUGUGUAGGUGGCGCGCUAAGUCGGGUGUGAAAUUUCGGAGCUUAACUCCGAAACUGCAUUCGAUACUGGCGUGCUUGAGGACUGGAGAGGAGACUGGAAUUCAUGGUGUAGCAGUGAAAUGCGUAGAGAUCAUGAGGAAGACCAGUGGCGAAGGCGGGUCUCUGGGCCGAUACUGACGCUGAGGAGCGAAAGCGUGGGGAGCGAACAGG
rnacentral:rRNA from 1 species